rnacentral:misc_RNA from 1 species
AGGCUACGCAAGUAUUGCAGAUUUAUCGCUAAUCCCCUUCUCCACGGCAAGGCUAUGGCGGCACUUCCGCAGCCCUACGAGACGCGCCUGGUGGCGGUGUCUGCCUCUAGUGUCCACCAGCAGCGCAUCAACUACGGCAGUCGUGUGCUUUUGCCGUCAAGCGUGCUGGAUGACCUUUGUCGCAUCACCAUGGUGUAUCCCCUCCAGUUUGAGAUCAUUACUCCUGCUAAGAAGCGUGUCUACGCGGCUGUUCUCGAGUUCAACGCGCAGGCGGGGUCUGUGGUGCUACCGGACUGGAUGUUCCAGCACUUGGGCCUCUGCGGCACGAUGGUGGUGAAGGUGCAGAGCUGCAGUCUUCCGCCAGGCUCCCUCGUGAAGCUCCGACCGCAUCAGAAGGCUCUUGUAAUGUUCGAGAAUCCGCGGCACCUGCUGGAACUACGCCUCGCCCAGUAUCCCGUGCUCACCAAGGGCACCACAAUCGUGAUCAGCUACGUGGAUCGUGAAUUUCAGCUCGACUUGGUGGACAUUAUUGACAUGAAGCAGGAGCGCGUCAAUGGAAUCCUAACGGUGCGCGCAGACGGUGCACCAGUUGAACUGAAAGUAGACUUUGAACGGCCACUUGACAUGCCACCGUCGCCUCCAGAGACACCAACUUCUGCGGUAGCAUCGCCGACUGGAGCCAAUGUUAUCGGCGCAAGCAGCCCUACUGGUGUGCAGUUUCAACCCUUUAACUUUCGCCCUCCCAGUCUCACGGACGCCACCAAAGUGGCUGCAGGGACGCCACCGCUGAAGCACCUGCCAGGACAGUCUUCCUCCCCGUCCUCCGGACCAAAAGGCAGCAACUCUGCCGCCGAGCCAGAGCAGCCUACCUUCGCCGGUGCGGGCCGAACCCUACGUGGGAUCCUCUCGUCUGAGAAUCAGACGAACGAAGCUUCAGCAAGCGCCCCUGCCGCGCCGCCGGCGGCACGCCCCUCUGCGGAAGAGCUCCGUGCCAUUCGACUGAAGGCCCUCGGUGGCGGUGGGCGUUCAUGAGGCCCUCCUAUUCAUGUGUAUGUGUAUGUGUGUGUGUGUGUGUGUGUGCGUGUGUCGCCAGACCCCCUUACCCCCUCUCUCCUGCCACAUAACGCACCACGCCUUCUCUACCGUGUUCAGAAGCAAGAACAAAC